rnacentral:rRNA from 1 species
GAUGAACGCUGGCGGCGUGCCUAAUACAUGCAAGUCGAGCGAACAGACGAGGAGCUUGCUCCUCUGACGUUAGCGGCGGACGGGUGAGUAACACGUGGAUAACCUACCUAUAAGACUGGGAUAACUUCGGGAAACCGGAGCUAAUACCGGAUAAUAUAUUGAACCGCAUGGUUCAAUAGUGAAAGACGGUUUUGCUGUCACUUAUAGAUGGAUCCGCGCCGCAUUAGCUAGUUGGUAAGGUAACGGCUUACCAAGGCAACGAUGCGUAGCCGACCUGAGAGGGAGAGCGCACACAGUAGAAGAGACACGCUGCACAGACCUAUAGGGGACGCAGGUGUAGGGUAUUUUGCGAAAGGGGAGAGCGCGUCAGGGCGAAACGCCGUGAGAGAGAAGAAGGUUCGGGUCGUGAAACUCUCUGUUAUGAGGGAAGAAAAAAUGUGUGAGUAAAUAUGCGUGUCUGGGCGAUAUAUUCAGAGAGAGCCGCGGAUAAAUGCG